rnacentral:rRNA from 1 species
AUUGAACGCUGGCGGCAUGCCUUACACAUGCAAGUCGAACGGCAGCACGGGCUUCGGUCUGGUGGCGAGUGGCGAACGGGUGAGUAAAGUAUCGGAACGUACCUUUCAGUGGGGAUAACGUAGCGAAAGUUACGCUAAUACCGCAUAUUCUGUGAGCAGGAAAGCAGGGGAUCGCAAGACCUUGCGCUGAUUGAGCGGCCGAUAUCAGAUUAGCUAGUUGGUGGGGUAAAGGCCUACCAAGGCGAAGAUCUGUAGCGGGUCUGAGAGGAUGAUCUGCCACACUGGAACUGAGACACGGUCCAGACUCCUACGGGAGGCAGCAGUGGGGAAUUUUGGACAAGGGGGGCAACCCUGAUCCAGCCAUGCCGCGUGAGUGAAGAAGGCCUUCGGGUUGUAAAGCUCUUUCGGCCGGGAAGAAAUCGGAUGGGCUAAUACCCUGUGUGGAUGACGGUACCGGAAUAAGAAGCACCGGCUAACUACGUGCCAGCAGCCGCCGUAACAC